AAACAACACACAAACAAACUUGAUGGUAGGUUUGACUUAUAUUCCAUUCCAUCAUUUCCAUCUGUUACAAAAAUAUACAAACCUAGUCUACAAUUUAACGUUGACAUUCAUUAACGUUUCAUGUUCCAAAGUUGUCAUUGCCACACACUGAAUUGUAAAUAUUUGAGCGUCAAAUUAUACUGUACUGCCUGCAUGUCCCCAUCUGAUAUUCUUAAACCAGAAACACGUCGUCUCUGUAAUGGUAUUGUCUUGAAUUCGAAUCCCUGAUUCGUACAAGUUCUUGCUUUGUGAGCACAAUAACCAUAUUGCUUGUUUUCAGAGGACUGGAUCGUGCUACUGGAUAUUCUGGUCCUCACUUGAUAGUCUGAUACGUCGGGCAACAUCAAGAACAACAAAAAAGCAUUUUAAUGCAAAUUGUGUGAGUGGCGGUGGCAACAGGUAGGGCCAGCCUUCACGCUUAAUCCAAGCCGGAGGAUCUAUUCGAAUGUUUAUCCACAAACUGGUACUACAAAACAUGUCCAAGAGGGUACAAAUGUUACGCUUGUUUGCCAAAAUGCCCCUGAGAAUGAGAAGAAUGUCAAUGUUCUAUGGUACAGAACGAAAGGAACACACGAAGCAUACAGUAUGUUUGUCCGCUGUCACAUAACUUCGGGCACCGUAAAGACACUUGAUGGAAAAGCAUCUUGUUUCAACAAAUCAUAUGGAUUGAUGAUACACAAUAUUGAUAAACAGAAUGAAGAGAGAUGGUAUUGUCUAGUAGAUAACACGUUCCAAAGUCAAUAUGUUGAAAUCAAAGUCGACAGGCAUGACGGUAAGUGUGGAUUCUUGUUAUAAUAAUACCAUGUAAAUAACGCUGUAUUAUCCAUAUUCUAUUCAUGGGAUCGCUGUCACAGUUUAUGCAAAACUGGUCAAAUAUAAUUACAUGAAUGUCCAAGUUUGUAAAAUCACAAUAUAUACUGUCUGAUCAUCUUGGUUGUCGGAACAUUAGAAUCUACUUCACAAAGAAUCAGUUCACCCACGGCAACUACGGUGAAAGAUGUCACAUUAACAUCAAAGUCAACAAAAGGCACGACAGAAUAUACAACAGAAGGUACAGAUAAGGAAUCGGCAUCCAUAAACACACUGGUUCCUCUGAUUGGCGGAGCUGCAGGCGGUGCGUUCGUCUUAUUGGCUCUCGUGAUCACUGGCUGCGUUCUUUACAGAUCCCAGAGGGAGGUGAACAAGCCUAAUGAUGAACCGGCAUCAACAACAGAUUCCAACAGGUAACAUAAUGUAAUACAUAUAUGUCUCGUGUCAAGGGAAAUAGAUAAAAUAGCUUCAAUGGAAUGUUCUUAUGCUACUUAAAAGGAAGUGACAUUUUCUCUCACUGAUCCGUAUACACAUUUCGUGAACCAUUGCUACAUACAUCUUGAUAUCCCGAAGCAACGUAUGUCCCUUUACUCUUGUUUAUUGUUUAUUCAGCAAGGUUAAAUAGGCAAUAUAGGUAAACAUUAGACAUUUGUAAAGAUCAUGAGGGCAGUUGUAUGUACAAACAAAAAUAUUAUUUUUGAAUAUAACUGAGCAAAUGUGGUUAGAUAAGUAGUUGGUUAGCUUAGAUUAUAUUUAUCACUGUCACUGUACAUAUACAAACAACCUGAACACGCCACAAGUGCUACUCUGACAAUCGAAUGCAGAAACAUGUAUCCUGAACUUUAAGGUGGGCAGUAUAUUAUUCCAUACUGCAUUGUUU
rnacentral:misc_RNA from 1 species